GUGACAUGUUAGGACUCUAAUGAGUUUAAGACCUAAUGAGCCUCUUAAGUGAGGCCGCCAGCAACCUUUUUUUUCUCUACAUUUUAAAAAAAAAACUAAAAUUCUACCCUUAUCGGUGGAUCACUAGGCUCGUGGAUCGAUGAAGAACGCAGCAAACUGCGAUAAUUAUUGCGAACUGCAGAAGUAUUGAGCACAAAAGUUUUGAACGCAAAUGGCCGCAUUGAGGUCAAACUCUUUGCAACGUCUGGUUCAGGGUCAU
rnacentral:rRNA from 1 species